GGACGGGUGAGUAACGCGUGGGUAACCUACCCCGAAGUCCGGGAUAACAGCGGGAAACCGCUGCUAAUACCGGAUGUCUUUACCUUGGGGCAUCUUGAGGUAAAGAAAGGCAACGCUUUGGGAUGGGCCCGCGUCCCAUUAGCUAGUUGGUGAGGUAACGGCUCACCAAGGCGACGAUGGGUAGCCGGCCUGAGAGGGUGGACGGCCACACUGGGACUGAGACACGGCCCAGACUCCUACGGGAGGCAGCAGUAGGGAAUAUUGCGCAAUGGACGGAAGUCUGACGCAGCGACGCCGCGUGAGCGAUGAAGGUCUUCGGAUCGUAAGGCUCUGUCCUUGGGGAAGAAGGCGAAAGCUUGACGGUACCCAAGAAGAAAGCCCCGGCUAACUACGUGCCAGCAGCCGCGGUAAUACGUAGGGGGCGAGCGUUGUCCGGAAUUACUGGGCGUAAAG
rnacentral:rRNA from 1 species